AUUAAUUUUUUUGGACGGUAAAGAUGACGUAAACGCGAAUCUAACGGACUAAAAUUCUCUGUAAGAGCAAUGUCUGUCUUUCAUCAUCUGAGCAGAUACUACUUUGGCUUCUUUUUUUUCACUUUCUGUCGUCAAUAUUCGUCUCAGGUCUUUCAUCAUCAGCCUCUGUUCUGUCUCUGUCUCUCUCGAUUAAUUCGGAGCUCUUAUAUUUAUUUUCUCAUCUUCCUUGAGAGAAUAACCCCACAAGGUCACAGCAAGUGUCCGAGAGGGAUAUGCAGUAAACGUUGUGACAAUUAUCUUGACAGCUUUAAAAUAGGAGUUUAGCAAUGGAAGGAGUUCCAGGGAUCAAUACUGUUCCAAAUCCCAACUAUUAUGACAAGUCAAUAGUGCUAGAUGUAAAGCCACUGCGAAGUUUGAAACCUGUUUUUCCAAAUGGUAAUCAAGGUCCACCAUUUGUUGGUUGUCCUCCUUUUGGCCCUCCUUCCUCUUCUUCUGGGCCUUCACCUUUCUACCCAUUUGGAUCACAACAACCUCCAGAUCUCAACCAAACACAGGACACGCCUCCUCCUACGUUCGUUACACCUCUUCAAUCAUAUAGACCACCUACUGAAGUAUCAAACGGUCCUAGCAGCUCAAGUGGGACUAAAAAAGGAGUUGGUCGUCCUAAGAGAAAUGCAGUAUCAAUUGCCCCUAGUAGUAGCUCAAGUGGGACCAAAAGAGGAGCUGGUCGUCCUAAGGGAACUGGUAACGCCAAGAAAAAAGAGAAGACUAGUUUGGAUGUUGUUCAGGUAGUGAAAAGAGAUUUCGACAGCGGGAUCAGUGCACCAGAGCGAGAAGAUGGAAACACUGACUUAGUGAGCAGCGUGUUGAUGCGUUUCGACGCUGUCAGGAGGCGGUUAAGCCAAGUAGAGCACGGAAAGGCCGGAACCUCGAAAGCAGCAGGUGUUCUGAUGAGCAACGGAGUGCGUACCAACAUGAAGAAGAGAGUAGGAACAGUUCCUGGAAUCGAGGUUGGAGAUAUCUUCUUCUCAAGGAUAGAGAUGUGUUUGGUCGGUCUUCACAUGCAGACCAUGGCAGGGAUUGACUAUAUAACAAGCAAAGUAGGUGCAGAUGAGGAGCCGUUAGCUACCAGCAUUGUUUCCUCUGGACGUUACGACGGUGAAGCGCAGGAUCCUGAGUCUUUGAUAUACAGCGGACAAGGAGGGAAUGCUGAUAAGAGCGGACAAGCGUCUGAUCAGAAGCUUGAGAGAGGGAAUCUAGCGUUGGAGAAGAGCUUGAGGAAAGGGAAUGGAGUGAGAGUGAUAAGAGGGGAGGAGGAUCCAGCAAGUAAAACAGGAAAGAUCUAUAUUUAUGAUGGAGUUUAUACAAUCUCAGAGUCAUGGGUGGAGAAGGGGAAGAACGGUUGCAACACUUUUAAAUAUAAAUUAGUGAGAGUACCUAAUCAGCCACCUGCUUUUGGAGUCUGGAAGGCUGUUCAUAAGUGGAAGGAAGGUUUAACUCCAAGAGCAAACCUUAUCCUUCCGGAUAUAACUUCAGGAGUUGAGAGUAAACCUGUUUCUCUGGUGAAUGAUGUGGAUGGUGAGAAGGGGCCUUCUUAUUUCACUUACAUCUCCACUCUCAAACCCUCUAAACAAACUCAGCCGCCCACUAUUGGUUGCUCCUGUCACGGCUCGUGUGCAGCUGGAAACCUUGACUGCUCAUGCGUCCGUAAGAACGGCGGUGACCUCCCUUACCUUAACGGCGUGAUGCUUGUUUCCCGGAGGCCUAUGGUGUAUGAAUGUGGCACAACCUGUCCUUGUCACGCCAGCUGCAAAAACAAAGUGAUUCAGACGGGGCUGAAGUUUCGAAUGGAAGUGUUCAAGACAGACCAUCGCGGUUGGGGUUUAAGGUCUUGGGAUCCUAUACGUGCUGGCUCCUUCAUAUGUGAAUAUGCUGGUGAGGUCCUCCUUAGAAUGGAGCAAGAAGAUGAUGAGUUUGUCUUUGACACGUCUCGUGUUUACAACUCGUUUAAGUGGAACUAUGAGCCUGCGUUGGUAGAUGAGGACCCUUCCGAUGAAGUCCCGGAGGAGUUUAAUCUCCCAUCACCGGUCCUGAUCAGUGCCAAGAGUUUUGGAAAUGUAGCUCGGUUCAUGAACCAUAGUUGCUCCCCAAACGUUAUGUGGCAGCCGGUUUUUGUUGAAGGAAGCGGUGAAUCGGUUGUCCACAUUGCUUUCUUUGCUAUACGUCACAUUCCACCGAUGGCUGAGUUGACUUAUGACUAUGGAGUCUCCCUUGCAUCUGAGGCCAGAGAUGGGAGCCUUUUACAUGGAAAGAGGAAGUGCUUAUGUGGUUCUGUGAAGUGCCGUGGCUCAUUCGGAUAACUCUGACACAAUCUGUCUGAAACCGUUUCUGUUGUCACAGGGCAGAAGAUCUCAACGUGUAGCAGGGAAGUGUGUAUGCAUUUGCAUGUUAUGUGGUGAUGCAUUACACAUGUAAUGUUGUACUAAAUGUAUUUGUAUUAGCACCACAUUGGCCAUGCUCAUGGGUUUGGUAAGAAAAUAAACUCAAAAAUUGAUGUUUGUUUGUUUGUUUGGUAUUUAAUCGUCAAUGUUCUUCAUGUACUCCUUGGAAAGCUUUGUUUCAUUGAUGAGUUUUUGUUCCUUAA